UAUCUGUUUUAUAGAUGGAGGAAUGGAUGGCUUGGGGGCAGGAGUGUAGAGGACUCUCCAGUGUUGAGAGACACUUCUGUGCAGAUGCUGCAAAGAAAUCCAACAGUGCAUAUUGGUUUCAAGGGAUAUAUAUAUGCUGUUCACCUUCCCUUUUAAUUUAAACUUAUUUAACCUGCUAUAAGAUGUUCUCCCUGCUUUAAUAGAUCUUGUUUUUCUAGCAAUUACUGUCAUUUAGGUAAUAUCACACAGAUGUGCUCAAGGAACACAAACUUGUAAGAAACACCGAAGAAUUUCUGGCACUAUUUCUUUCAUUCAGUCUAAUUUCAGAGGCAGAAGGAGCCAGCCGGCUGAAUUGUCUUGAAGGCGGACACAGGAAAAGCAGCUGAUAGACUGAAAUACAGAUGAAAUCACCUUUAAGCACAAAGAAGAACUUACUGCCAAUCAGGAGAUAGAUAACAUACAGGUGGAUGUGUGUGUACAUACAGACAGCACCUCAUGAGAUUAACUGCCCUGAGGAAAUGCUCUCUCCAUGGAAACUUUGCCCAAGAAAACAUGUUUUGUCUUGUACCUACUAUACUAAUAUCUGCAUGACACUCACUGUCAUAGGAACAUGAACUCCUACAGAGAUGAAGACUACAUCUAAUUGACAGUGAGAGGAGAAUUGUUCUUGCAAGCAAAGUUAGAAAACAAAGUACUGAACUCAAUUU